UUGAAGGCUGAAAUUCGCCUUCAUGAAGCCGGAAUUGCUAGUAAUGGCAGGUCAGCAUACUGCCGUGAAUACGUUCCCGGGCCUUGUACACACCGCCCGUCACACCAUGAGAGUUGGGAAUACCCGAAGCCUGUGAGCUAACUUUUAGAGGCAGCAGUCGAAGGUAGAAUCAAUGAUUGGGGUGAAGUCGUAACAAGGUAGC
rnacentral:rRNA from 1 species